GUAAUGGUAGUUCAGUGGUAGAAUUCUUGCUUUUCAUGGAGACCCGGGUUUGAUUCCUAGCCAAUGCA
rnacentral:tRNA from 1 species